AUUGAACGCUGGCGGCAGGCCUAACACAUGCAAGUCGAGCGGAGCGGCGGACGGGUGAGAAAUGCCUAGGAAUCUGCCUGGUAGCGGGGGAUAACGUCCGGAAACGGGCGCUAAUACCGCAUACUAUCAGAUGAGCCUCGGUGGGAUUAGCUAGUUGGUGGGGUAAAGGCCUACCAAGGCGACGAUCCGUAACUGGUCUGAGAGGAGGAUCAGUCACCCUGGAACUGAGACACGGUCCAGACUCCUACGGGAGGCAGCAGUGGGGAAUAUUGGGCAAUGGGCGGAAGCCUGAUCCAGCCAUGCCGCGUGUGUGGAGAAAGUCUUCGGUUUGUAAAGCACUUUAAGUUGGGAGGCGUUACCAACAGAAGAAGCACCGGCUAACUUCGUGCCAGCAGCCGCGGUAAUAC
rnacentral:rRNA from 1 species